CGGGGUGUGGCGCAGCCUGGUAGCGCACCUGCCUUGGGCGCAGGGGGUCGGAGGUUCAAAUCCUCUCACCCCGA
rnacentral:tRNA from 2 species